CCUUGCCAGCCCGCUCAGAAACUCAAAUGAAUUGACGGGGACCCGCACAAGCGGUGGAUGAUGUGGAUUAAUUCGAUGCAACGCGAAAAACCUUACCUACCCUUGACAUGUCUGGAACCUUGGUGAGAGCCGAGGGUGCCUUCGGGAGCCAGAACACAGGUGCUGCAUGGCUGUCGUCAGCUCGUGUCGUGAGAUGUUGGGUUAAGUCCCGCAACGAGCGCAACCCUUGUCACUAGUUGCCAUCAUUUGGUUGGGCACUCUAGUGAGACUGCCGGUGACAAACCGGAGGAAGGUGGGGAUGACGUCAAGUCCUCAUGGCCCUUAUGGGUAGGGCUUCACACGUCAUACAAUGGUCGGUACAGAGGGUUGCCAAGCCGCGAGGUGGAGCCAAUCCCUUAAAGCCGAUCGUAGUCCGGAUCGUAGUCUGCAACUCGACUACGUGAAGUCGGAAUCGCUAGUAAUCGUGAAUCAGAAUGUCACGGUGAAUACGUUCCCGGGCCUU
rnacentral:rRNA from 1 species